rnacentral:lncRNA from 1 species
GUUCAAAUAAAUUGGAUGUAAGCUAUUAUAGGCAACUUUGCAACCUUCAGCAAUGACACAAAACCAUACCGUUUUGCUGGCUAUAACAGAGUUUCUAUUUUUUUUUCUUUGCCGAACCAAAAGCCUCUGCUAUCAAAUUUAAAAUCUGGUUCCACAGCACAGAACAACAUAUGUAUUAAUUUGGUAUAAGAUAAAGCAUUGACAUCAUGUGGUAGCACAAGGCUUUUGAUAUUUCAAGCAAGUAUUCUUUACCGGGUCAGCAUUUUUGGUUUGUACUGUUGAUGCUGACGGGAUAGUUAGUCUGAUAUGUGUUUAUGAAACCAGAUAUGUGUAGUAGUUUUGAAC